GCAUUAAUGGGGUAGUGGUAACCUGGGUCGUUGCCAUACACUACUAGGUUCCAUGCUCGACCCCCUCGGGGUUCGAUCCCCCCUUAAUGCA